rnacentral:rRNA from 1 species
CCUACGGGAGGCAGCAGUGAGGAAUCUUCCACAAUGGGCGAAAGCCUGAUGGAGCAACGCCGCGUGCAGGAUGAAGGCCUUCGGGUCGUAAACUGCUUUUAUUAGUGAGGAAUAUGACGGUAACUAAUGAAUAAGGGUCGGCUAACUACGUGCCAGCAGCCGCGGUAAU